GUCCUAAUCAUCCAUGUGCUAGAAUUCACAGGAAUUCUAGAGUUCAUUCAAGAGUAUAAAAAUGUACCACAUGACUUUUUCAAUGCUAAAAAAAGCCUGUGUGAAGGUCAAAAUAUUGAUCUAAAUACUGCAAAUAACCUCAUAUUGCCUUGCAUAUGAAGACCAGCAAGUGCAUCUUAUAUAAGUAAAUGUGCCACAUAGGACUUUUCUUUGCUCUCUUUGGUUAUUCUUCCUGUGUCCAUUCCGACAGAUCUGCAAAUUUCUAUCAAGUCAAGGCUUGUAGGGUUUAACGUUUCAGUAGGGAACCAGGAAGAAUUGGCAAUACAUUCUAUGACCACACACUUAUUCUGACUCAGGUAUAGCCAGAAAAACACAAAAUCACCAUG